AAAAAAGAGAGCUCCUCUCCUUAAAACAACUUGCAAUGGCCACUAAACUCUCCCAUCUUUACGCAUCCAUCCUCCUCCUUGUUUUUAUUCACCCUUUCACAGCUCAAUCCAGGACCUUGAAGUCCAAUACUUUUGAGUUCCUUCAAAACCUGGAGGGAUGCCAGAAGGGGCAAAAUGUUAAAGGGCUCAAGGAGCUCAAACACCACCUCAAAAAUAUUGGAUACUAUCCAAAAGAUCAUCAGAAUGAUAUCAAGCUUAGCGAUGAUUUUGAUGAGAUCUUCGAAUCUGCUCUCAAAACCUACCAGAAGAAUUACCGUCUCAAGGUUACCGGGACUCUUGAUUCCGAUACUAUAAAGGAACUCAUGAUUCCUCGAUGUGGAGUUCCUGAUCCCAUCAACCACAAUGCAUCAAAACAAGCAGGCAGAACUGAACACGACAGCAAGUCGAGCAAGUUCCACACGGUUUCUCACUACAGCUUCUUUGGUGGAUCGCCGAGGUGGCCAUCUUCCAAAUUUCAUCUCACUUGUCGCACCCCAAAAACAACAAAUAAUUUCCAUUGCGGGUUCGACUGGCGAAAAUUUUUUUUUGAUUAUUUGAUUUGGUUCUUUGGAGUCGCCACCUAGUAUUUUGGUUACUAGGAACCCUAACUGGUCUCAGAGAUCGGGUACGGAGACUGGUUGCGUAAAGGGAAGGUAUUAGCACCCCAAAUACGCCUUACCUAAGGUAAGCUGCAUUGUUUUAUUGUCUGAUAAAAAUAAAAAAAAAGACUAAGGUGUUAUUGUGUUUUCCUAGUUGUUGGUCUGUCUAUGGUUCAAGAAAAAUCCUCCUCGGUAAGGAGAUCUUUAUCUUAUCGGGUAAAAAUCCUAACCGUUCUAACGUCCAUACCAAAAUUUUAUUAAUAAUAUUUAGGAAUACGUUUUACGUAUAAAUUCGUAAUCUCAAAUAUUAAAAGAAAACAAAAAGAUUUUUUAGAAUUUUUGAAAUAUUGGCCUAGUUCUCAUGGCUUGAAUAAACUGGUUAUUAAAGCCAAAAUGCAUGUUAAUACAUAUAUUGUUUUGAAAAUUUUCUUUGUUGUGUGAAAAUAUGAUGUUAUAAUAUUUAUGUAUAUAUAUUGGAGAGACUAGGCCGUAUUUUAAAACAAAAAAAACAAUUUUAUAAAAUAUUAUUUUAUGCUUUGACGAAAAUCGGGUAUUUAAUACUGAGCUUGUAUCCUUACGGUAUAAAAAAUACAACCCAAUAUUAAUCCGCUUUUAAAAAAUAUGCAGAAAAAUCAACAAUAUUUUAGGGAAUUUUUAGAAAUUUUUUUGAAAGCAAAAACAUUUUUUAUUCUGAAAAUCUUUGAUGUUUUGACGAAAACCAGGUAUUUAUAACACUGGUUUUGUAUUUUUACGGUAUAAAAAUACAAACCAGAAUUAAAACAUUUUUGACAAAAAUAUGAGAAAAAUCAACAAUAUUUUUUUAAGAUUUUUCAAAAUAUUUUUUUUUUAUUAUUAUAUUUUAUAUAUAUAUACACACAUAUAAUAUAAUAUAUAAUAUAUAAUAUAUAAUAUAAAUAAAAUAAAAAUUCGGGCUGGGCCGGCCCAAAUAAACGGGCCAGGCUCAGCCCAAAAAAAUAAAAAACGGGCCGACCUCGGCCCAAAAUUAAAUUGGGCCGAUGUCGGCCCAAAACUUCUACCGUCUGGGCCAGGACCGGCCCAGACUUGCAAGGCUGGGCCAGCAUCGGGCUGGCCCAGCACCUUUGGCCCAGCGGGGGGAAGAAUUAAUUUUCUUCCCCCCCGCCUCCUGCAUGCAUAACUCUGCAUGCAGGAGGCAACGCCUGCAAACGAAGGAGAAGAAGAAAAUUUACCUGGCGUGGAGGAGGCGGUCGCUGGCGGUGCAGCGGUGGCGUGGCUCGUGGGCGGCGGCUCCGUGCGGUGCUGUGGCGGUUCCUAGCGUUCGGUUCGGUUCACUCUCUCUCUCUCCUCCCUUCUCGGGUCUCUCUCUCUCUAUUCCUCUCGGGUCCUUUUUUUCUUUUCGGUUUUCUUCCCUAUUUAUAGGGGCAGAACCGUGGGGGACCAUGGGUGUAACGGCUGGUCGGCCAAUAUCUAAAGGUGGUGGGGCGAGGAGAGAGAGAGGCGCGGGAUGGGUUUUGAAAACGGUUUUCUUCUUCUGUUGCAGGUUCGGGGGAAGGAGAAGAUGAACAGUGUCGUUCAAAACGACACCGUUCUUUUCCUUUUUUUUUUUUUUUUUAUAUAUAUGAAACGGCGUCGUUUUGGAUAAAACGCGCCGUUUCAUUUAAAUGGCCAAACUUCAAAUCAGUCCCCCAAAUUCGGUCCCCGCCCCUCUUGUUGGCCGCCUUUUUCACUUUGGUCCUUGGCCUCUGAUUUAUGCAAUUGAGCCCCUAAUUGAUCAAUAAACUUUCAAUUUCUUCAAUUAAGCCCCUGAACCGAAAAAUUGCAGCCCCUCCAUUUACACGCCUCUUCCAAUUUGGUCCCUGGUUUCGGAUUUUCUUAAUUAAAUCCCUAAUUGGCCCUUAAACUUCAAUAUUUAUGCAAUUAAGCCCCUGAUUUGACCCAAUAAAUUCCUAAAGAAUAUAUUUUGGCCCCAGAACUUAAAUUUCUUCAAAUUAAAGCCCAAAUUGACUUAAAAAUUAAUUUUUCUUGCAAUCAAAUCCUUCAUAAAUUCAAAUAAAAAUCCAAUUAAGUCCCUAAAAAUCCAAUUAAGUCCAUAAAAAUCCAAUUAAGUCCAUAAACAUCCAAAUUUGGGCUUUUCUCCUCAAAAUUCAAAUUUUCCUUCUCAAUAGGGCUUUCAUCCUUCAAGAAUAUACUGUCAAAAAUUUAAUCCUUGUAUUUUUGAAUUUCUUUACCAAUUUUCUGACUGUUUCCUGAGCGCUUCUGCCUUCUGUUAUUUUUUCUAAACUCUUUUGGCUAUUUAUUUUAUUUUUUCAUGGGGACCCAAAAAUGGGUUACAACAUCACUUACACUUUCAGCUCCAGUGUCCAAGUUGUUGACAUGCAGGAACUGAGGUCUGCAUGCUCACGAGCAUUCCAAAAGUGGGCAGACGUAACCCAGUUUACAUUCCAGGAAGCUUCUGAAGGUUCCCAGGCAGAUAUUGUAAUCGGAUUUCAAAGUGGCGAUCAUGGUGACGGGGUCCCUUUCGACGGUCCGGGACGCAUACUAGCCCACGCCUUCUCACCAACAGACGGGAGGCUGCAUUAUGAUGCGGACGAGAAAUGGAGCACGAACCCUAGCGCAGAUGAAGUGGACCUGGAAUCAGUAGCUGUGCAUGAAAUCGGGCAUCUUCUCGGACUGGAUCACAGCAUGGAUCAAAAUUCCAUUAUGUUCGCGGAAAUUCCACAAGGAACUAUCAAAAGGGAGCUCGGUCAGGAUGAUAUUGCUGGCAUACGUGCUUUGUACUCCAAUUAAUCACAGAGCCCCCGUAAUUUCCUUUUAAACAAGUUAUUACAACGCUUCUAAAUCUGGGUUACAGGGAUAAUAAUUAAUUACGGUUGAAAUAUCUACAAUAUGUAGCUCUUCAUAUGUAAAAACUAGACGCAAGGCUGCAAUUUUAUUGUUUUGUCUAUGUGUCACUUUAUCAAACUUAAUAUCCGUAUCGUUCCUUUAAAUGUCUAAUGAAAAGUGUGCAUUGAUAAGGAAUAGUACUAUUUAAAGGACAAACGAGGACUAUUUCUUUUGAUAAAUUACACUUGAGGGCAAUAAUGAAAAAAACAUUCUUAUUAUAACGCAAAAGUAGUAAGUAAUUACCUAAAAGAGAUUAUGAUUAUUUAUGUUUCUAUAAACUCUUGAGUUUAUAACAUGAUUCACACUAUGAGGUGAAUGAUUGUGAAGAUUAAAAGUAGUUUAAUAGGAUUUAUUUUUAAUUUUUAAUGGAAUCAUAGAACAUAUAUAUUGACUUGUUUACUCAUAAAUUUAAUCUAUUUAGAUCUUUCAUUAUACUUUAUUUUUUUUAGUCAAUGAUAUUAAUUAUUUACAACUUGUAUUUAGGAAUAUGUAUACAAUUACAAUUCAUGUUAUUAUUUAUGAUCAUAUCUGGUCCUUACAUAAAAAUAUAAAUAUUUAACUCUUGAUUAAUGAGUCAAAUUAGCUAUGGUUAUUUGAAACUCUAACAUAUAAUGUCUUUUUAGGUUUGUACGAAUUUGUAGGUUUUAAAAAUUUGUUGUGAGGAGUUUAAUUUUUGUUUUGGCACUUCCAGAAACAAGGGAAUUAAGGCAAUAUAUAUAAAUGGUGAUUUAAUUAAUGGCAUAUGUAAUAUGAUCGAUGUCCUGAUUGUUAGUGCUUUCAAUGUAUAUAUUGGCAUGCAAUUGUAGCGUUUGAAAGAGAAACAAGAAAUUAUGAGUGGAUAUACUGCAUAAGGGUUUUAUCUGGGUUGUAGCUCGUAAUCCAAUAAUCAUUGUAGUGAUUAAAAUAUUCAGAAAGGAGGUUCCUUUAAAAGUCAAUUCUUCACUUAUUUUUAUUGAAACAUCUAAAAAAUAUCUAUAAAAUACUUAACAAUUUUAAAAUAUCUUGAAAUCAUUUAAAAAACUAUUCAAAUAAAAAGACAUCUACAUGGAACAUAAUCUAUAUUUUCAAGUAUUUUUAUAUGAAAAACCAUCAUCAUCAAAUUUUUUAUUUAAAUAAAACUCGUUUACACUAAAAAUGGUAAUCUCGUCAUUAAAAAGUGAUCAUUCACCAAUGUUUUUUCCCUUCAUUAUUUUAAAGUCACUUUCUAUUUUCUCUCUCAAACUUUAAUAAAACAUACUUUCAUAUCAAAAUUAAAGUCUCAAAAACUAAAGGUAAUAUAGAGUGAGAAAAAAAAAGCAAAUGGACUACCAAGACUUUUCCAGCAAAUUUUAGAUUUGUAAGGAGAUUUAUCUUUAAUUUUUAUAUUUCAAUACAAUAUUUCAUUAAAUUUCAUCUUGUCAAUAUUGGCACAACUUAGCAUCCCACCAUGAAUUUGUGUGAGGAGUGAUAAGGAUGAACACAACUACUGCAGUGACAAAUGUUGAAAGUUAAGCUGGUUACUUGUUUUUAAAACUUCAGAAGUAAAUCCUGAAGUUAUAACGAGAAGAGUUAAGAAUGAAGUAAUGGAAAAAAUUUAUGUUAAAAUCAGUUACAGCAGUUAAAAAGCCAUUAUAGCAGUUAUUUCUGUUAAUUUAUGUUACAAACGUUUCUUACAUGUAUAAGAAUCGUAGCCCUCAAUUGAUGAAUGGUUGAGAUGAAUUGAUUUAGGAUUCUGUUAUUAUUUACAUGUAAUGUGUAUAAAAGCAGGAUUCCUGCAUUAGAAAUACACAAGAAAAUAAUACAACAAAAUAAUACAAGAACUUCUUAUCAUCUUCUCUGAAAAACCUCCUCCACAAACUCUUCUUGAGAAACUUGAAAUUCGACAACAAGAAGGCUGUAAACUCUCACAAUUCAUGCUACAGUAGUGGAGAAACGACGAAGGUGCAUCAAUGGCAACAACUUCAACCCGAAAUGAUACCUGGUUCAAUCAGCGAAGAAAAUCUCAACCAAUUGAUUGAGCAAAUCGUCAAGACAAGCUAUAAAGUUGUAAAACUCUAACUUUAUAUGUAAAAGUUUUUCUUCUCCGAGUCAACUCGAACCAAAUUACACUCGUCGGUCGGUCUUUAUAGAGCUGAACUUUAUGAAAACAGUUUGGCUAAGAAGACUUGAUCCGACUUUUCAUAAGGGGUGAGGACUUUUACUGCACUUUUUACAUUCUUGCUUCCGGUAAACUAUCUCCGGCCCUCGGACUCCAUGCUCCAGCAAUAACAACCAAUAUUAAUGUAAUGCCAGAUUUUAAAGGGUUGAACUCAUGAUAUUGAAAAGAUUUGUUUUCUUUCUUAAUUUUUAAAUUUGAACUUUAAAUUUAAUAUCUAAAAGAAUUUAUUACAUAUUUUUUAAAAAAACACACCAGACUGAUAUGAGCUGUUUUUGAAAAACUAUAUAGAAAAAAACCUAGUUUCGACGUCUGACGAGCAUGUUCAUGCACCAGUUCCUUCAUUGCUAAAACAAAUUAAAGUCAGUUCAAUCCGAGGUUGAAUUCAAUGCUCUCAAGCAUGGGCUGUGGAGACGACUUUCCAAGUCAAAAUCCAUCUUUCAGAGUCAUUUUGUGAUUCAUGUAGCUCGUCAAGCUCAUUUCUGUGCGUGUUUCUCAUUGCCUGUUGUAUCAAUUUUAGUGACCAUGCAUAUGACACACCACCUAGGAUAAUUAAUUAUAGAUUUUAUGUCAGAUUUUAUUUUCCCUAAUUAGAUAUUAAGUGAGCUAAUUUAUAUUAUGGUAAGCAUCGGAUGAUCAUGGGAUCAUUCCUUACAAUUUUAAUAAAAUUAUAUUACAUUCACUUUUCAUAUAGGUAAGGCUUCACUCAUAUUUUCCUCGCUGUAAACACAAUAAAUAAAGCUAAAGUAUUAUUUUAAUACAAUUUUAAGUAUAAAAUAAUUUUAAAAAUAAUUAUUUAUAUAAUUUCAAACAUUGUAUUAAAUAUCAACAAAACACUUUCUAAUAAAGCUAAAAUAUAUGAACUUUAGUGCUAGUAAUAAACUUGAAAGUUUUGGACUCGAGAAUUGAGCAGAGAAAGCACAAAACUUUAAAGAAAAAACUAGAUAUUAAUUUAUAGGAUCUUGAACUACACGAAAAAACAAGAAGAUAGUCGUCUAUCAUUAUACAAUUAUGAUUGAAAAUUAUAUCUAUUAAAAAAAUUAUUGAACAACAGACUCAUUGAAUCUGCCUGUUUAUCUUAUUAGUUGAUCGAAUAACAGACUCAUUGAACAAAAAACUGGAGAAAUUGACUUCUUUACACUUGUAUUUGUUACAGAACAAAUGCAUGCAAUGAUAAUUUUUUUUGGGCACUUAAUUUUCGAUUAGGAUUAAUUCAAGUUCUGAAAAUUGCAUGUAAAAGUGUUGAAUACAUAAAUUAUCCAUUAAAGUGCAGAAAAUAUUUAAGAAGAGUCCAGGAUAGUCCACUGACUUUAAAUUAUAUGAUGCCAUUGUUGAGAAAGGGACCUGCAACCUUUUCACAUCAUCAAGUGUUGAAAACUUAAUCCUCCGGCCGCUUGGCCGUGAUGGAAGGGGCAUGGAAAAUGCCAGUCGGCGAUCACUCUGCAUUAGGGAACUGCACUGUUUUCUGUCAACGAGUUCACAUUAGAAACAUUUAUCCAAUUAUUGAUUGGCCAUAGAAAAGUUCAUAUGGUAUUUAUUACAUAAACCAGAUUCAUUUGAACAGAAAUUGUUUGAUUGGUUUGUCAUGUGCAGCAGACAAGGUAGUGUUGUCGACUGCUGUAAAAUACCUCGUAAUGUGAAACACGCCAGGCUCUGUUCUUUACAUGCCAAAAUCAAUGUAUAAAUAGCCAUGCAGAGAUGACACAAAAUCAAGCAAAAAAAGAGAGCCCCUCUCCUUAAAACAACUUUCAAUGGCCACUAAACUCUCCCAUCUUUACGCAUCCAUCCUCCUCCUUGUUCUUAUUCACCCUUUCACAGCUCAAUCCAGGACCUUGAAGUCCAAUACUUUUGAGUUCCUUCAAAACCUGGAGGGAUGCCAGAAGGGGCAAAAUGUUGAAGGGCUCAAGGAGCUCAAACACCACCUCAAAAAUAUUGGAUACUAUCCAAAAGAUCAACAGCAUGAUAUCAAGCUUAGCGAUGAUUUUGAUGAGAUCUUCGAAUCUGCGCUCAAAACUUACCAGAAGAAUUACCGUCUCAAGGUUACCGGGACUCUUGAUUCCGAUACUAUAAAGGAACUUAUGAUUCCUCGAUGUGGAGUUCCUGAUCCCAUCAACCACAAUGCAUCAAAACAAGCAGGC
rnacentral:lncRNA from 1 species